GGGCCCGCACAAGCGGUGGAGUAUGUGGUUUAAUUCGAUGCAACGCGAAGAACCUUACCAGGGUUUGACAUCCUGCGAAUCUCUUGGAAACGAGAGAGUGCCUUCGGGAGCGCAGUGACAGGUGGUGCAUGGCUGUCGUCAGCUCGUGUCGUGAGAUGUUGGGUUAAGUCCCGCAACGAGCGCAACCCACGUCUUUAGUUGCCAGCAUUUAGUUGGGCACUCUAGCCAGACUGCCGGUGCAAACCGCGAGGAAGGUGGGGAUGACGUCAAAUCAUCACGGCCCUUACGUCCUGGGCUACACACGUGCUACAAUGCUACGGACAAAGGGCAGCAAGUUCGCGAGGACAAGCAAAUCCCAUAAACCGUGGCUCAGUUCAGAUCGUAGGCUGCAACUCGCCUACGUGAAGGCGGAAUCGCUAGUAAUCG
rnacentral:rRNA from 1 species